UCAGUAUAGGAGGUCAGCCUGCCCAGUGACCACAAGUUCAACGGCCGCGGUAUUUUGACCGUGCAAAGGUAGCGCAAUCACUUGUCUUUUAAAUAGAGACCUGUAUGAAUGGCUAAACGAGGGCUUAACUGUCUCCCUUUUCAGGUCAGUGAAAUUGAUCUACCCGUGCAGAAGCGGGUAUAGAAAUACAAGACGAGAAGACCCUUUGGAGCUUAAGGUACAAAACUCAAUCACGUCAAACAACUUAAUAAAAAGUAAAAACCUUGUGAAACAUGAGAUUUUACCUUCGGUUGGGGCGACCACGGAGGAAAAAUAAGCCUCCAAGUGGACCGGGACAAACUCCUAAAACCAAGAGAAACAUCUCUAAGCCACAGAACAUCUGACCAAACAUGAUCCGGCCACCAAGACCGAUCAACGAACCAAGUUACCCUAGGGAUAACAGCGCAAUCCCCUCCCAGAGUCCAUAUCGACGAGGGGGUUUACGACCUCGAUGUUGGAUCAGGACAUCCUAAUGGUGCAGCCGCUAUUAAGGGUUCGUUUGUUCAACGAUUAAAGUCCUACGUGAUCUGAGUUCAGACCGG
rnacentral:rRNA from 1 species